CUCUCUCAAACACUUUAAGGAUAAAAGGUUUUACUGAAUUAAGAGGCUUAUUUCUCAUCAUGCUGAUGGAUAUGUGAAGUCAUCUGCUCGCAGCCCCGAACCCGUAGAUCCGAACUUGUGUUAACACUCACCACAAGCUUGUAUCUACAGGUCUGUGUCUGUGCAGCUUCAACAGCUUGAGCAGCAUCAGCACAAUACAGCAGCUCCUACCAACUUCAUUGACCAUCUCAGAUAUCUCCAAUCAGGACCCUAAAACUGAGAGAAGUUGGGUUUCGGUCUUCCAAGGGUCCUUGACACUUUCCACACGUCUUAUCUCUAAACUUUGAUGGGAUAAAAGGUGGUUUCAUUUAAAAGGGAAAAUAUCCGUAUUGCUACCUCCUUGUGUAUAUUUCAAAUGUUAGUUUGUAGAAAACUGAUGAGGACACGGAGCUCUUUCAGUCAUUUAGCUGCAGUUUGGCCACAGUGUAACUGAAGCAGACAUUGGCCCAAUUAGAGAAUGCAAAAGAAGGAAUGACAGUUGCAAUGAUUGUUUCCUGACAAAUGGCCACUUCCCACGUGUUAGCCUUUUCCAUUAAGGGAGAAAAUCUGAUUGAAACUUUAUCUGGAUGAGUCAGACAUGUCUAAAAUGUUGUAAUUACUUGGGAGAUUGGAUUAAAGUUUGCACCAAUGAAAAUACGUUUUUCACCCUGUUUUUCCCUGUUCUGGUGCAAAUGUUUGCUCCCCUCAUUCUGUUUUAUAUUCGCCAAACCCCUGAGCCAUGAAGCCCUGGUGUCCAGGUCCGCUUGCUCCCAGGCUGAGGUAGUAGGUUGUAUAGUUGAGAAUUACACCGCAGGAGAUAACUGUACAACCUCCUAGCUUUCCCUGAGGUAUGCAUGGCACUCUGCACAACUGGAUCGAUACAGUGCAAUGUGAUUGCUGCACAAGUCACACCCCAAAAAAAGAGAAAAGAAAUCAAGCUGACUGCCUGAUACCACACGCUCCACGUGGCUGAUGGAGCAGCAGGAGAGUAAAAGCCAUGCUUCCCACUUUUGGGAUAUAGAUGCCAGAUUGUGUGUCAAUGAUGUGUGUUUUUGUGCAUUAAAGGAUCAAAUUGAUCACUGGGACGUUUGGAGACUGACACAGAUAUUUUUGGACUGACAUAAAAAUAUUUAAAGUAAUAAAUAUGACAUUUAAAUGACAAAAUAUUACUUUAAAGACGAGGCUUUCAGGUUUUCACCCUUAUUUUUCAUGCCUCCUACUGUUAUUAUUAUUAUUGUUGUUAUUAUAACUGUUAUUAUUAAUGUUAUUAUUGUUACUGCCAUGAUCAAUCGUUCUAUUAUUUUUAUUGUUUCUUUAAUAGUAGACCCUUGUAUUGGCCGUAAAAUGGUGAUAAUUUUUGGAUGUAGAAUUCAUGUUUGAUUAGCUGGAAUUGAAAAAUAUGUGUUAUUUUAUUUUCAAAAUUAAUUUAUCAGAAUAGCUUUACAAUUUAUAUUAAAUAUAAUUAUUGUAUUGUAUUACGAUGUAGGGUCUAUGUAAUAAAGGGUGGACAGCUGUAGUUGGUAGAUGUCUGAUUAUUACUUAAGGCCAGAAUGCGUGUGUUUAUGUUUAUGUUUUACUUUGACAUAUAAGAUGUGUAGUGUCUUCUGCUUUGGCUGAUUUGAGGUCAGAAACAUUGGUGUGUGUUCAGUAGGCAGGUAGAGACAGCGUUGCACCGUCGCAGAGCGUUUGGCACUGACGUGAGGGCUUUUGAAAGCAUGCUGCGUGUUGGAGGCAUCAGUUCCUUUCCAUUCUGAGGUGACAUUUUAUUAUUCGCUCAGUGAUAACCUCAUUAAUGGUGACGGCUGUGUGGAAGAAGUCCCUCUGCUUCACUCGUCCUGUUUGUGUAAUGACAGUUAUAAAGAAUAUCAGACACAAAAGGAAAAAAAUGAGUUGAGCCUCAGACAACAGCGUCUCAGUCCAUUUACAAGCACUGAAAUCAACUGUCACCGCAAACAAUUAUUGUCAUAAUGUUUUCAAUCAGCAGACGCACACUGCUGACAAAAUAUCAGACUGUGAAAAAGUGUGACACCCAGUCAGGAAUACGUCUACAUCAGCUCACAGAAAAGUCCUCAAAGAAGAGUUUAACAUAGGGUUGCUGCUUGUGGGCCGCUACUGCUCAACCCUCCUCUCUACAGCUUUUCAGACUUUCAUUUUAUCAAAGCAAACCCUUUCAUUCCCUCUACUCUCUGCAAUAUAAAACUGUACAUGAGAUUUCAUGAUUUUGGCAGAAGAGAAGGGAGCUGCUAACACUCCCAGUGCAGAUGCAGUAUCUGAGCAUUAGCCCUCACACCGUUUAUACUGUAUACAUUGAUGCCGGCCAGUCCUCAGCCUCAACAUCCACCAGUACGUCUGUUGUGUGUGCGUGUGUGUGUGUUCAGCUGAGGUAAAAGGUAGCAGAGCAAAAGACUGCCCCCUGUUGGUUGACUCUGGUAAGUGUCCAGCUGUGGGUUGGCUCUGAUUUGGUGACUUUGCAAAUGGUGGAAAAUGAAACACAGGGAUUUCGUAGGACAUAUGGACAUAUCCUGAAGUGAGAUGCCUGUGUGGCUUUUUGUGAAUACACAUACUGUAUUUCUAGUGUGUGUGUGUGUGUGUGUGUGUGUGUGUGUGGCACGACGCAAUAAUCCAAACCAGAGCAGAAAGUGAGAGCUUUGUGGGGUUUCAUGCGGUCUGUGUUCUCCUCCAUCUCCCUCCUUCUUUCCUUCUUUUUUCUCUCUAUCAGAUGUAGAUACUCUAUUGUAAGUAACAUUGUUUGUUGUUUUGUUAGCAACAGUCUGCAUUGUAUACCCAGACUUUUUCACGUCCGUUUAUGUAUUUCCCCACUUUUUUAUGUAUAUUGGUGUGAAAUAUAAUCGUUUAAAGCAUUUAGUAAUGCUAAAUUUAAUACUUUUAUAAAGUGAUUGGUAAUGGUUCCUUUUUCCUGCCCUUUUAGUCUUGUUUCGAUGGAUACGUGAUACUUCUUUCACUGAAACAUCCUCUUUCUUCUUCCUCAUCAUGGUUGCCAUGGCAAUGAUUUCAAAGACUCAUCAAUCAUCUCUGACAAGGUGCCAAUCAGUCACUCAGGCCAACCUCUGCAUCUGCUGCAGUCAUCCAGAGGGCGUGUCCUGCUCGUCACCUUGGUCCUGCUGAGUGUACAGACAUACAGCGACCACACUGCUUCCUCAGACCAUGCUUGGGCCAGGGUGACAGAUCUGGGUCUCCACUUAUGUACUGCUUGGCAAGCUGGGGCUGAUUCCUGGCCAUUACCAGGAGAUAGUACUUAAAGAGAGUGAAAUGGGAUCGAUAAAUCAAUGGCGAAGAGCCAUUUAACAUAAUACAAAGUUUAUCUUUAACCUGGUGAAGGAGUUUGGUCUACUCCCUUGUGCACUAAAAUUAAUUUAUGCAUUUAAAUCUCAUGGCCAUGAAAUCUCUCUUCUGAUGUGUUUUCUGUUUGUGCAGAGCUGCUUUACUCACACUGCACCUGUCUCUGCAUGUUCAUGCGUGUGCAUACUAUGCACAUGUGUGUGUGUGCAGGCGUGUGUGUAAGCCUUUGUCUGCCUGCUGCAGACUCUCACCAUCAAAGCAGGCUAAUAUUAGCACCUCGCCGAAGACCGUCUCUAUCUGGACACAAAGCCGGUGAUAAAUGAGGGUAGCAGUGUUCGUGUGUUUGUGUGUGUGUGUACAUAUACAUGCUUUUCAGGGUUGGGGGUGUAAACGGAGGAGCAUGUUGUAGAUCCAGAUGCAGGUUUUCUCCAGUAACCGCAGCUGUAUAGUGAUAGAAAAACGGCACAAUGCUCCGUCUGCCAGCAGAAAGGAUUGGAGAUUAGCCGGGCUGCAGACACAGUUGGUUGAUCAGUCAGUCAAGGAGGGAGGGAGCAGAAGAAAAGCAAGAGGGCAGUGUGGUCUCAGAGAUUUUUCUUUUUUUUCCUUCUCCCCAGUCUCUCUGGGCCCCGUCGCUGAUUUGAGCCUGCAGUCGGUUGUACGUCGUCACUCUCCUUCUCUACUCCAUCUGUUCCUCCCCCCAUCAUCUCUCCUCUUUCUCUCUUUCCUCCCUCCCUGACUCUCAGUCUCUCUCUCUCUCACUCACUCUCUCUGUCUCUCCAUACCAAAGCCUGGGGGAGCAGUGGAGAUUAAAUGUAGCCUCUAUAAGCCAAAUCACAUCAUAUAGCAAUGUUUCUAUAGCCCCUUCUCUCUCUGUCUCUCCUCUCUCUCUGUCUCUCCUCUCUCUCUGUCUCUCCUUGUCUUUCUGAAGGGAUAGUAUGAAUGAUGGCAGCCCAUGUAUGUGAGACUUUUGUUUUUGCAUGCAUGCAGAAGACACAGAGAGAGAGAACACUGGAUUUAUUUUAUUGGUGGAAAACGGACACUGACAAGGUGGAAAAAACAACGAAAGGAGGACUACUUUCUCUCGCUACCCCCCACCCCCAAACUCCCUCUCCCUCUCUUUCUCUCUCGCUCUUGCCUGAUACAGACGAAAAGAGGGCCUCUGGCUGUAAGCGAAUACAGCUGUGAGGCAAAUUAAUGGAUGAUAUUUCUCUCCCCCUUUCUCCUUUUUUGUUUUUCUUUUCUUUUUUUUUGCUUUUUCUCCUGCCUAUCAACAAGGGAAGAUAAUGAGCCAGAGGGGGGGGAAGAAGGAGUACAGGAACGAGUACUAAUAUUGGAGAGAAUAAGAGGGGUGAGAAAAAGAGGGGAGAAGAGGGGGAGGUGUUGGGGGGAUGUCAUGUUUUUUUUUCCUUCCUUCCCUCCUUUCUAGCUCUGCAUGUGAUUGAAAGAGGGAGAAAACAAUGCGAGGGAAGAGGGAAAAGACGAGAGAAAGCGGAGCGAGACAAGAGAUCAGCAGGCGCAUUCGUUUUAACUUGGAUUUGUGCAUGAGAGAGAGAGCGUGUGUGUGAGAGAGAAAGUGUGCAUGUGACUAAGUGUGUGUGAAAGUGUGUGUGUGUGCAUUUUUCUUCCUCCCGCCAACCUGCCUCGGACCUGCAGGUUUUGAUACAAUGUAAGUAGAGGCUAAGGAGAAGGUGCAAGGAAAGGCAAACGAGUUUGUGUGUGUGUGUGUGUGUGUGUGUGUGUGUGUGUGUGUGUGUGUGCGCCCCCCCUCCUCGACACCCUCCCCCCUUCAGUGAGGCAGCAUACUGGUAUGCUUCUGGCUCUGUGGCCCUGGCUGCCAGCUCUGAUUCUGUGGCUCGAUGCUGGCUCUUUUAAUUCAGCCCUCUCUCUCUCUCUUUCUGCUUUUCCUCCACUCUCUCUGGAUUUCUCUUGGUCGCUCUCUUGCCACCUACCUGUUCUAUCCAACCUCUCUGCGUUUCGUUUUCUGGGAAGAGGAAUCGUCUCGCUGACUCUCUCUCUCUCGCGACUCUCCUCCCCAGACUGCUCACUCUCACUCUGUGCUUGUGUGUGUGUGUGUGUGUUUAAAGAGAGAGAGGGAGAGAGAGAAGAGAUAGAGGAAAAGAGAGCGUGCAAAUGGUUCAUUACAGCUUGGUCCUACCACCCAUCCUCAUGCCUUUUUCUUUUCUCUGUCAGUCUCUCUCUUGCCAUUUAUUUCGCCUGAUUCUGAGCAGCUCGCCAGACGGGCCAGCCUCUUCUUUGCAUCGUGAGCAUAACUGGAAAUCUUGUUGCCGUGCUGAAGCCAGGUAUUGAUGACUGGAGGCCAAGGCAGAGCCCGUCCGCUCCUUCUCCCCAGCGGGCCUCAGUAUCAGUGUGUAAAGACCGGCUGGAAAUCCCCUGAUGAUUCAACAUUUAACACUUUACUGCCACACUAACCAAAUAGCUGCAAAUGUUUUUGUUGGAUUGUUUGAAGGAAUGUCUUAAGCAUGUUGGCUGCAGUUAGUGUUUUGGAUUUAUUCAUUUUUUUUCUUCAACAGGCUUGAAACCAGGAAGCUGUGCAGAUGUGUGCCUGCAAAGAGAUUUGAGUUUUGGUUUCCAAGUUGGAUUCUUCUUGUUUUUAGGUAGAGCUGGAAAGGUUUGGAUGGACUCUCUGACCUGCUCUCAGUCCUUUGGAAAGUCUUAUAACAGCAUUAGAAUCUUUGCGACAUUAUGGAAAUUACUUUUUCAUGACUGGCUGGCUUUUUUUAAUAACUUUGUUUUAGUCUUUGGUUAGGAGCUCAUACGGUAGCUUAUUAUGUGAAUAGUUGAACAACAGACAAUUGAUUGGCAACUCUCUUGGUAAUCAUUGAAUCCAUUAAGUCAUUUUAUUAAACAGAAAUGCCAAAGAUUUGCUGCUUUCACCAAGAACUAUAAAUUGAAGUAGAUGUUAGUUUGGACAGUAUAGUUUUUAUAUUUCAUUUUACAACAAAAUGUCUAAUGGAUUAACUCAAAUGUAUUUUUUGUGUUUCUUAUUUUUGUUAUCCCACUCAAGGAAACGGAAGUGUCACAGCAGAAGUAACGAAUUGUGUAGAUUAAUAUUGUCUCCUCACUUGUUUGGGACUAUUUUUGUUCAAACACUAUAAAAUUAUUGCAGCUGAAUGUUUUACAUCUGCUUAUCCCUGUUAGCUUCCUGUCCUUUAUCUGUAGGUGUAUCAUUACAGCACAUUGAGAGGCACUGGAAACCCGAGUCACGUCCAUGUGUGUCCAAACAUUCUUGGCAAAUUAAGUUGAUUCAGAUUUUUUAAAGCUAUUCUAUUAAAACCUAGUUAAAUUUAGUUUUUCUUACUUUUAUAUUUCAUGCUUUAUUUUCUGUGUAGAAGCCACUUAAAAUGUGUGUACUAUUAUUUUUAAAUUUCCCUUUGUGAGCUCGAAGGGAGAUUGUGUUACCUUAUUUACUAUUAAAUUCUAUUAAUGCCGAAAAUAAUUUCUUUCAAUUUUCAAAACCACAUUCUAAUAUCCAUGACCUGUUGUUACCUGUGAACAGCCUCAGAUCAGGAGAAUCACCAUCAAAUUACUUCUUACUACAGUCUUUGCUCAUUUGUGACUUUAUUAUUGUCUUUUGAUUUCAGCGGUUUUCUCUAACUUUUACCUGUGCGAUCUGUGACUUCAACAUAUUGCACAUUGUCAGUUAAUGUCAUAUUCCAAUAAAUUGAAUGUGGAGUAAAAUGUUUUCCCUGUUUAUUUAUUUUUGCUUUUGUUUUCUAAAAUAACUGAUCAACCACAACAAGGAAUAGUAAUUAUUGCCUUUGUGUGACAUGUUGCUAAUGACUGGAUAAAUAUCAUUAUGACCGAAGAUUACACAACUUUUCAAUAUUUUAUAAUAUGGCAGUGAUGUGAGAGCAGAACAGUGAGUGCAGUGUGAGACAGAGACGUCUAACAGUUGUGUCUAAAUAAAGUCUCACUGCUGUCAUUUCACAUGAUUAUCAGUUCUUUCCACUGUUGUGCUUAUAAAUAGAAGCUCUAAAUGAAUGGGGAGAUUUUGCCAUUUGGCGUGUUUUACAUUUUAUCUUUGGGGCUAUCUUUUAUGCCUUUUUAAGAGCUUGAAUCUGUUUCAACAAGAUUAAAUCCUCGGCAUGAUGUGUGUUUCUGUGGAGCUGCCAAGAUGUAUUACAACCCCUCCUCUCCUGACAGCAUACAUCAAGCAGUAAAUGGACCUAAAUAAAGACAUUCAAAAAGUCUCCUGACACGCAAGUUCUCAGAAGUCAGUGUGCUUGUCGAAAAGAGUCCAUAUGAUCUGGAAUGGGAUGUAAGCAUUUGUGUGUGGUUAUUUGGUGGGUUAUAAUACCAGAAUAAUUCAUUAUUGUCACUUACAUUAUUAAUUAAUGUGUGCCAUGGUAAUUAUCUGCAUAAAUACAGUAAAUAAUUCAUUAGUAAUGCAAAUUUUAUUUGAAGUAUGCAAAUGUUAAUAAACGUCCCCCCAGUCUGCUUCACGUGUUUCUCAUGUCUUCACACUCGUUAACACUACAGUGCUGUGUGAAUGUAAUGUACAGCGCACGGGUGGUUUGUGCUGAUUCUGCUCCAGCAGCUUUGUCUUCUUCUCACUUACAGCUCAUUAAAACAGGUCAGGACAUGUCAGAAUGGUCCGAGAACAUGAGACGGAUAUGACAAACUGAAGCAAGCCUCACCUGCCCAUUCACACAUGUACACACAGUUUCGUGAUGAAUACCAUAUCCUGACCUGGAUUUACAUCUGUAGCACACUCACUGACAUUCAGAUGAAGAAAUGCAUUUGUUUCCUAAAGUGGCCCCAAUGCUACAAUGUUGAUGUGUUCUGUAUAAUUCUGUAUAAUUUAAAUGUCUUGCUUUUGUAAUAAAAUCAUUGAUUGUUAAAAUA